AUCAACCCCAGCCGACGACCUCCAAAUCCUCCUAAAUCUUCAAACCCUAGCUCCGCCAUGGCCGCCGCCGCCGCUGCCACCACCCACGCCAUCGGCGGCUCCGCCCCGCUAUUCCCCUCACCCGCCCCCCGCUCGUCCCCCUUCUCCUCUUCCCGCUCCCUCUUCUUCGGCCUCCGCCGCCCCGCCGCCCGAGUCCGCCUCGCCGGCGCCACCCGCCGCUCCGCCCCCUUCCGAGUCGCCGCCGAGAAAGUCGUCGGCAUCGACCUUGGAACCACCAACUCCGCCAUCGCCGUCAUGGAGGGCGGCCAGCCGACGAUCGUCACCAACACCGAGGGCCAGCGCACCACCCCCUCCGUCGUCGCCUACACGAAGAACGGCGACCGCCUUGUCGGGCAGAUCGCCAAGCGCCAGGCCGUCGUCAACCCCGAGAACACCUUCUUCUCGGUCAAACGCUUCAUCGGCCGGAAAGCCCACGAGGUCGACGAGGAGUCCAAGCAGGUCUCCUACAACGUCGUCCGCGACGAGAACGGCAAUGUUAAGAUCGAUUGCCCCGCCAUCGGCAAGCAGUUCGCCGCGGAAGAGAUCUCUGCACAGGUGUUGAGGAAGCUUGUUGAUGAUGCAUCCAAGUUUUUGAAUGACAAGGUGACUAAGGCGGUGGUGACAGUUCCGGCUUACUUCAAUGAUUCUCAGCGGACGGCGACAAAGGAUGCUGGACGGAUUGCUGGUUUAGAAGUUCUUCGCAUUAUCAAUGAACCUACUGCGGCUUCAUUGGCUUAUGGAUUUGAG
rnacentral:misc_RNA from 1 species